rnacentral:ribozyme from 14 species
UUUUCUUUCUUUCUUUUUUUCUUUCUUUCCUUUUUUUUUAACCUGCCGUUGAGAUGGAGAGGCUGCAAGAAAAAGUCCUGAAGAAGAAAAGCCUGGGGUGCUAGA